UACGAAGGGGGCUAGCGUUGUUCGGAUUUACUGGGCGUAAAGCGCACGUAGGCGGGUCGUUAAGUCAGGGGUGAAAUCCCGGAGCUCAACUCCGGAACUGCCUUUGAUACUGGCGACCUUGAGGCUGGAAGAGGUUAGUGGAAUUCCCAGUGUAGAGGUGAAAUUCGUAGAUAUCAAGCGGAACAACCGGUGGCGAAGGCGGCCUUACUGGACAGAUACUGACGCUGAGACACGAAAGCGUGGGGAGCAAACAGG
rnacentral:rRNA from 1 species